AAUGAACGCUGGCGGCAGGCCUAACACAUGCAAGUCGAACGAGUGGCGGGCGGGUGAGUAAUGUCUGGAACAAUGCCCGAUGGAGGGGGGUAACUACUGGAAACGGUAGCGAAUACCGCAUGCCAUGGAAUGUGCCCAGAUGGGAUUAGCUAGGAGGUGGGGUAACGGCUCACCUAGGCAACGAUCCCUAGCUUGUCUGAGAGGAUGGCAAGCCACACUGGAACGGAAACACGGCACAGACCCCUAUGGUAGGCAGCAGUGGGGAAUAUUGCACAAUGGGCGCAAGCCUGAUGUGACCCUGCCGCGUGUAUGAAGAAGGCCUUCGUGUUGUAAACUACUUUCAGUGAGAAGGCGUUACUCGCAGAAGAAGCACCGGCUAACUCCGUGCCAGCAGCCGCGGUAAUAC
rnacentral:rRNA from 1 species